GUCAACGACCAUAAACACCGGAUCUCGUCCGAUCGCCGAAGUUAACAAACGUCGGGCAUAGUUAGUACUUAGGAACGCUAUGUGCCGUUGGCA
rnacentral:rRNA from 1 species